ensembl:lncRNA
AUGAUUGAGCCUCAUGGCUCUGCUUCUGGCAGACGUGGACGUAAGACUCCUCGAGAGUCAGAUACUCUCGAGGAGCGAGAAAGAAAGAGGCUGCGAGAUAUCUUUGCAGAACCGUCUGACGAAGAGUCUUUUAAGGGGUUCACGGAGAGAAUGGAGGAAGAGCUGGUUAGCUCGGAAGAGGAUGAGAUGGAUUGGACUCGGGUAAGGGAGGAGUUGGGUGCCACUGGCAAUAAUGGGAUGGAAGAUGAAUGGGGACCUUCAGGAUUAGACCCAUGGACAAGCUGGAGGGAUGGGACGGGAUCCACAGCUGGGGAUGCUGUGGGGCGUAGUCAGAGGUGUUCCAGCUCUGAUGAGGGAAAGUGAUGAGGAAACGCCCGGGUUAAGGAGGGCAGCUGAUAGUGAUGAGGAUUUGUAACUGGCAUAAAAUGAGGCUUGGGAGCAAUUGCAAAUUGCGUUGGGCAAGGUAAUCUGGACGAACGCUUGGGAUCUGUGUGGGACGCUUUCCUGAAGACUGGUGUGUUUUCGUGUGCUGAUACCUUUGACCUUCCGUCGUCUUCUUGACGGACGUCAUCUGCUACUCUGGAUUUACGGACUGAAAACUGACUACGGGCUCGCUUUCUCCUAUUGGACUUGGAAAACUGCAAACGUCUGAUUCUGCCUCUCGACCUUCGGAACGAAUUGGGACUACGCUACUGCUUCAAUCCUUGGCUGUUGAGUUUGUAUUGGAAAUUUGCCUUGCUGUGUGAAGGAGUGACUCCUAGUUACUCAAAACAUAGUGCUGGCAGCAGAGAAUUAUCUGCUGCCAAUUAGUUGCAUUCUUUUGAACUCUUUGUUUCCCAGCUUCUGUUUGUUUUUCCCCAGGCUGAAGCAAGCUGUUUUGAUUUUACCCGGAUUAAACUCCGGUUUAAUCCGGUUUAUCUUUUGAACGUUUUUUCUUGCCCCUUUUUGUUUUUAAAGGCUAAGUUGCCUUGCCCUUGUCUUUUACGGGCAUUUUGAGUUCUGUAAAUCCAAUAAACUCUGUUAUCUUUGAUCUUGUGGCGUUCUGUCCUUGACAAUUUGGCGAAUGCCAUGUGGAACUGCACUGUUUUGGCUCCCUGUGAAAGCUUAAAUGAGAUACAGCCAAUAUAACUUCCUUGGGUAGAGAGUGCUACAUUUGAGGUAUUGUUACAGAGAAAGUCAUGUUACAUGUACUUACCAACCCAACUUCAUGAGAUGCUGGGACAUGCAUCAGGGCCUCCUCUGAAGAUCUCAAAUUUCUGACAGGCUCAUAAUUGAGAGGAGUCAGCCUUUUAGAUAUCCUGGCCUCAAUUCAUUUAUAGCUUUAUAGCUCAGCACCAGCACCUUGAAUUGAGCUCAGAAGCAAAUUAAAAGCCAGUAUACAGUUCUUGAAAAACUUAUAUAUAGCCUAUAAAAUGCACACAUGGCAUACAAAUUCAAAUUUUGGCCCUCCUUUCCUUGAGAGGUGUAGUGAACCUUACCUAUUAGGCCGGGAAUGAAGCCUGGGUAACAGUGAGUGAGGCAGGCCUCCAUUUUGUAGAGGAAUGCCAGGCAGCCAUCUUGGGUGUGGUUAGAAAGAGGGAGGAGCUUAGAGAGGGAAUCCUAGGAUUGGCCAGAGCAGAUGGGAGGAGUCAAGUUUUAGAGUGCAGAGAAAAAAGGAGCUCCGAGGCAGUUCGGUUUUGGGGUUUGGAGAGGAAAGAGCAGUUUGGAGGGUGUGUGUGAGAGAGAACUGAGAGCUGUGAAACUGACAGGCUAGGUCAGGCAGUUUGGAUUUCUUGGGGAAGAUAACUCAAGGGAUUGACUCUCAUUACAGGGCUGGUUAAUAGAAGGACUCUAGGUUAGAGUUAGUUAACAACCCAGGGGAAAUCGUGACUAUUCUUAGCAAAUAGGGUUUUUGUGACCAAUAGAUAGAUUGGUUGGUUGGAACUGUUUGAAACUAAGUGAAGAAAUCGAAAACCUACAACUAAGUUAAGCUGAAGAACUUCUGUAACCGUUUACGCUUAUGUACCUCUCUGAAGUAAUCAUUUGCCUGUUUUAAGAAAAUAAAUUUUUAUUCUAUUUUCAACUUUCAAAAGCCUCCACAGUGUAUCUUUCCAUCAAGAAGCCUUUAUAAUAGUUCCAGCAAUGCAACAAUAAAAUACCACAGAAAAGCCUCAUAGUGAACAUCAGUUUGGGAUCCAGGGGUGGAAACAGUGUGGGCAGGGAAUGGGAGAAGCUUGCCUCAGACACAUUUAACAACAAAAUUCUAAAGACAUUUUAAAUUGGUGGCAGCUACCAUUUUAAAAGAAAAUCUAAACUCAAACAGUGUAUCCUCGCCUCUCACAUACGUGUGCACCUGUGUGAAGAGUGUAGAGUGAGAGGUGUCUGUUAUAUUUGGUGUCAGCGCUUCGUUAUAUUUGGUGCCUUCUGCCCUCUCGUUAUAAGAGGUCUACCACAACAGAGGAAUAACUGCAGUGCAGAGGGUAAGGUAAAAAGGAUCAAUCCUAUGGGAAGUGUUUAACUCAUAUAUGGGUGUUAUUGUUGACUUGCUAUAACUUUAACGAUCCCUAUAUCAGCAUUACCAAAACAUUUCAUCAAAAUGCCCACCACCAUUGGCUGGAAGUCUGAAUGUGAUUGGUUACAUAACUAUCUUAGUUCUGUAGCUAAAUAGCAUUGUAGAUAAAUAGCCUGAUCAUGCCUCACUAUUGGCCAUGCUAGCUAGGGCUUAUGAGAAAUGAAGCUUGAAUAAUAUUCAACAGCUCUGGCUAAUAUAAUUUUCAUAGCACAUAGAUAUGUUCAAGAAAAAAGUAAUUACUUGAUUCAUUUUCUUUAUUAAAAAGUUCAUUAAUUUCAGCAUUCAUUUUCACUCACUCAUAUUCAACAUGAUGCCUCUUUCCCUCCCUCCUUCCUUUCUUGCUUCCUUUGACUAUUUUGUGCUAUUACCUAUGCUGGUGAUUAAAAAACAAGCCUGUUUUGUUCUUCCAUGAUGCACCGGAAAAGAGUAGAUUAAUAUCCUUCUGCUCCUUCUCCUCCUUGUCCAGAAUUUUUUAUAUUCAUCUUUGCUCCUCAAUGUCUGCAAUUUGUUGGUUAUCCAUCCCCUGCCUUGAUUAUUACUUUUGGACAGUGCUUCACGUUUCCUACUUGGCCUUCCCUGUGUUCAUUGUCUGACCCCAAAAAGUUAGCCAUUGGCCAACACUCUACAAUUUUAUGAAAUGUUCCUGGGCUUUUUCACUGAAAAGAAUCGCAAAAGAGUGUUGACAAAACAUUGAGUUUUUGUGCAAGUAGUAAAAAGUAAAUAUGAUUGGGGAAAUAUCCAGACAUCACUUGAAGGCAUAACUUGGUGUACUCAGCUGGCAGAAAUUGGCUAGACUAUAGGAGUCCCCAGGCUCCAGAGUGCAGCUAUGGAAGAAAAUGAAAUGUAGGGUGCUUCAGUAGGAAAGGUAAUGAGGUAGAAUAACUGCAUAUCUUCAGGGUCUGAUCCAAGAACUGGAAUUCACUGUGCUAAAAGAAUCUAUAGAGAAGAGAUAAUGGAGAUUGAGAAGAUGGCAUUGAGAUCUGAUAUUUAAGUACAUUUUUUCCAAAUGAAAUGACAGGGUUCACAGAGCAGUUAAAGAAAGAAAUGUGCAAUCUUUUGGAAAAGUAAACUUAGUAAGUAUAUACUUUGCCAAACCCUGAAGCUGAGAAUAUUUUGUUUCUGUGUUAACAUUGUUGUUUUUUUUAACAAAGAUCACUGGCAAAGAAAUAAAUGUGUUAGGAGAAAAAAACCUGAACAAUAUAAAUUUCCUUCUAACCUUUAGUCUAUGUAAGCCAGGAAAACAUUUAAUUUUUUUCAGAUUUCCAUGCACCAUCUUCCAUCCACAUUUAUAAAUUUUUCAAAGAUGUCUGCUCCUUGAUGGAGUCUUAAAUUUGACCUUCCUAGAAUGGCCGAGCUGAUCUUGUGAUUAAUGAGCCAAUUAUUUCCUUCUGAGAUGCCGUGCAAAAUGUGUAUCUCAUCUCUUUUCCAUUUACAGUUUUAAUAAAUAAGUAACAUGGUGUUUUUAUUGGCAUUGCUGCACUCUGAAGUUACUGAUGAAUUCCUUUGAGUUAUUUAUCCUCCAAAUUAAUAGAACACUAGCAGGGUAAUUUUAAAAUGUAGGAUUUUAUUUGUUUACAACAAGGUAAACAAAAGUAGUGUCUGGGAAAGAAUACUGACAGAGAGUGGUAAUUAAAGCCAUAUAUACACAAAUAAAUAGAUGCACUGUCAAGCA